CGAUUUUUUCUGUUUCAAAGAUCACAUACGCUUUCUGAACUUUGUUAUUCAAGCCCUAAAUUGUUUUCAGUGAUUUGUCAAAGUUCUUAAAAUGUUAUCCAACCUUUUAUUCCUAAAAUUAAGUGUGACAGCAAUUCUGUGCAUAUAUAUGAUGUUACCAUUGAUUCUUUUUCUCGCCCCUCAAGACGAGGGGCGCCCAUUUUAUCAAAAAUUAAUGGCCUUUUUGAUCAUUUCUUUGUGGCCAAUAUUUACUUUUGUUUCGAUAGUCACCAUAUUAUUGUCACAACGAUAUCCGAAAUUAACUCUCGCAAGUGCUGUUGUUUGGCUAGUAAUAUCCCAUUUAACUCUCAUGUUUUUACUUCUUAACUGUGGAUUCGUGAAUGCUGUGCAUUGGUACGAUUUUCCGGACUUGUCUUUCAAACUCUUGAAAAACUGCAAACUAUCCUUAUUCAAGUAUCCUGAAAUGGGAUGGAUUCUUUUCGGCGAAAUAUAUGCUUGGCUAACUUUCACUUUAAUAAUAAUAUAUCAUAUAGCAUGGCCUCUCCUAUCGCCAGCUAAGGAAUAGCCAGGAUCGUCCUAUUGUUUUUCCUGUUGUGAGAAAUUAAAUUCAUAUAAAAUAUUUUAUUAUUCAUUGCCAUGUUUAAAAUCCAUCCGAACUCAUCAAGAUCGACAUCCAAAACUGGUGAGGCCAUUUAGAUUUCUGAUAUGCAUACCAUAAGCUAUUUGGAGCGAGAAACUAAACCAGUAAAAAUCUUUGAUCUGGCUGACAUAGCAUUCUUUGGAGCAUGCAACUUUUGUGGCUUGGCAGGAAUUUCUUUGUUACUGGGAGCUAUUGUGUUUCAUAGUGCAUUAAUAUGGAUAGCCGUGGGAAUACUUUUUUCUGUAACCAUUAUAGUUGGAAUAUACGUGUUUAUUUUGACAAUAACACAUUGGGAUGCGCAUAAUAUCCUGUUGGAUUUUGCGUAUAUCCUUACAGCUAUUUUAUUGACGGGAUCUCUCGUAUUUAUUACUGUAUCACUGUAUUUCUUUGGAAGUGAUAUGAAACAUGAAGAGGCCUCCCGUGACUGGAGAACACCAAAUUGUAAAGGUAAACGAGUGUUUAGGUGGUUUCAUGUAAGAGGAGUAUGGCGGUUGUUUAGAAGGAGGGUAUAAUUUGUUCUCCGGCUCCAACAAAUUGGGAUUCAUAAAUAGAUUUAAACAAUAUUUCCCUUAUUUAAUAUAUUAAGAACCAUGUCUCGUGGAAAUGCUUUUAAUUAUCGGUUGCUACAAAACUCAUAUGUACAAAAAAUUCGUUAAAAAAAGUUGCGCCUAUUUAAUAUUGCAGAAAUGAGAACGAGAUUAUAGAAAUAGAAAAAAGUAUACUUUUGCGGUAUAUGUUUUUCAAUUAAUAGUAUCAUUGCCAAUGAAAAAUAAAUGUAA